AUUGAACGCUGGCGGCAGGCCUAACACAUGCAAGUCGAGCGGAUGACGGGAGCUUGCUCCUUGAUUCAGCGGCGGACGGGUGAGUAAUGCCUAGGAAUCUGCCUGGUAGUGGGGGACAACGUUUCGAAAGGAACGCUAAUACCGCAUACGUCCUACGGGAGAAAGCAGGGGACCUUCGGGCCUUGCGCUAUCAGAUGAGCCUAGGUCGGAUUAGCUAGUAGGUGAGGUAAUGGCUCACCUAGGCGACGAUCCGUAACUGGUCUGAGAGGAUGAUCAGUCACAAUUGAACUGAGACACGGUCCAGAGACCUACGUGAGGCAGCAGUGGGGAAUAUUGGACAAUGGGCGAAAGCCUGAUCCAGCCAUGCCGCGUGUGUGAAGAAGGUCUUCGGAUUGUAAAGCACUUUAAGUUGGGAGGAAGGGUUGUACGUUAAUACCGUGCAAUUUUGACGUUACCGACAGAAUAAGCACCGGCUAACUCUGUGCCAGCCGCCGCGGUAAUAC
rnacentral:rRNA from 1 species